rnacentral:tRNA from 1 species
ACCUGGGUGGCUGAGUUGGUUAAGUGUCUGACUUCAGCUCAGGUCAUGAUCUCGCGGUUCAUGAGUUCAAGCCCCAUAUCGGGCU